rnacentral:rRNA from 1 species
CCUACGGGGAGCAGCAGUGAGGAAUAUUGGUCAAUGGACGAGAGUCUGAACCAGCCAAGUAGCGUGAAGGAUGACUGCCCUAUGGGUUGUAAACUUCUUUUAUAUGGGAAUAAAAUGUUCCACGUGUGGGAUUUUGUAUGUACCAUAUGAAUAAGGAUCGGCUAACUCCGUGCCAGCAGCCGCGGUAAUACGGAGGAUCCGAGCGUUAUCCGGAUUUAUUGGGUUUAAAGGGAGCGUAGGUGGAUUGUUAAGUCAGUUGUGAAAGUUUGCGGCUCAACCGUAAAAUUGCAGUUGAAACUGGCAGUCUUGAGUACAGUAGAGGUGGGCGGAAUUCGUGGUAUAGCGGUGAAAUGCUUAGAUAUCACGAAGAACUCCGAUUGCGAAGGCAGUUCACUGGACUGCAACUGACACUGAGGCUCGAAAGUGUGGGUAUCAAACAGGAUUAGAUACCCUAGUAGUC